rnacentral:rRNA from 1 species
UACGAAGGGGGCUAGCGUUGUCCGGAAUUACUGGGCGUAAAGAGCUCGUAGGUGGUUUGUCGCGUUGUUCGUGAAAACUCACAGCUCAACUGUGGGCGUGCGGGCGAUACGGGCAGACUAGAGUACUGCAGGGGAGACUGGAAUUCCUGGUGUAGCGGUGGAAUGCGCAGAUAUCAGGAGGAACACCGGUGGCGAAGGCGGGUCUCUGGGCCGAUACUGACGCUGAGGAGCGAAAGCGUGGGGAGCGAACAGG